AGAGAGAGACAUGCGCGCAUAUCAAUAAGCGGAGGAAAAGAAACUAACAAGGAUUCCCUUAGUAACGGCGAGUGAAGCGGGAAGAGCUCAAAUUUGAAAUCUAUCAAGGUUUUACCUUGACGAAUUGUAGUUUAAAGAAGUGUUUUCUGCUGAAGUUUUGGUAAAAGUUCUUUGGAAUAGGACAUCAUAGAGGGUGAGAAUCCCGUAUUUGACCAUUAUUUUCAGCUUUGUGAUACACUUUCAAAGAGUCGGAUUGUUUGGGAAUGCAGUCCAAAAUGGGUGGUAAAUUUCAUCUAAAGCUAAAUAUUGGCGAGAGACCGAUAGCGAACAAGUACCGUGAGGGAAAGAUGAAAAGAACUUUGAAAAGAGAGUUAAACAGUACGUGAAAUUGUCAAAAGGGAAGCGUUUGACACCAGUGUUGUUUUCUCGAAAAUCAAUUAAAAAUGGCUCGAUUUUGUAUUGCUGAGACCUUAGAAAGCUCACUGUACAUUUUUCGUGUCUUUUUUAAUGCACUUUUCGUUUAACAAGUCAACAUCAGUUUCUUUUGUUGUAAAAGGGUCAUUGGAAGGUGGCUUUCUUUUCGGAGAAAGUGUUUAUAGCCUUUGGCCUCUGCAAUCGGAGAGACUGAGGUCUGCAGCGUAGACUCUUCGGGGUUAGAUACAUUUGUGCUAAGUUAUAGCUUUUUAUAGACAACUUGUUGACUAUAAUUAGUCUUGUAGCUUACUCGCUUAUGCUAUUUUACCUACGCUUAGGAUGUUGAAGAUGUAGCACAUCAU
rnacentral:rRNA from 1 species